CCGGUCGUGACAGAAAUUGUAGUAGACUUAAGCUCUGCGCAUGGGUUACUAGUGGCCCCGCCCGGU
rnacentral:tRNA from 1 species